rnacentral:rRNA from 1 species
UCGCGCCGCCACGUUGUGAGAAGUUCAUUAAACCUUAUCAUUUAGAGGAAGGAGAAGUCGUAACAAGGUUUCCGUAGGUGAACCUGCGGAAGGAUCAUUGUACACACAAUCAAAAAUGUUGACGAAUCUUUCGUCCUCCUCCCUGGGACACGUUUCAAGGAGAGGGGCGAGGAAGCCACUUCAAAACUAUCAAAAAUGUACUCACGAAAGGAACGGCAAGCUUUAAAACCCGAGGGAAUCGCACUGCAGAGGUGCGGUCGUCGACCAUGUGAUUCCGGGACUCGCAGGCCUCCUCUGCUUAGGGAGAGGGAGCUUGGGAGUGCCACCGCGGGUGCGUCGCGGGCUUGUUUCCAUGGUCGUCGGGGUUUGUCCCGCUCGCACGACUCCCGGGCAACGCCUCCCAUCCGUCUCCCUCGCCAGAGGGAGGCGGGGGAGGCCUGUCGGGAGUAAGGAUGUUAACGUCCUCCCCUCUUCUCGGGAGCACCCUUCUCUCCUGGUCGCCCCCUCCUCCGUCUUGGAGGAGGAGGCUGCCCUCGGUUUGCGGGACCCCGGAGGCGUCCCCGGGCUUGUCUUUCCGUGGGUGCAGAAUCAGCCAAACGUCCAACGAUGAACGUAAGACAGACCAAAAUUUAUCAAACAAAUGGACUCUCAGCAACGGAUAUCUUGGCUCUUGCAACGAUGAAGAACGCAGCGAAAUGCGAUACCUAGUGUGAAUUGCAGAAUUCCGCGAAUCAUCGAGUUUUUGAACGCAAGUUGCGCCCGAGGCUCUUACCGAGGGCAUGUCUGUCUGAGCGUCCUUGGGGUCCCGCCCAUCCACCUCGUCGUGUUGGCGAGGAUGCAUAGGAUGGGCGCCGGGAUGGCCUAUGCGCGGACCAUCCAUUGGGCUCGCCCAAGGGAAAGAGUCCCGCUCGGCUGAAAUCUAUGUCCGUCCUGGAAAUCGGAAGGGACGUUGCGAGAAGGUGCUCCGCUUUACGAAAGUGGGCGGAUGAUAUCAUGGAUAUCAAUAGCACGCGACGCUCCCUUCCCUCUCAAAAGGACUCGGAAAAAACGGGACUCCCGUCAUUGCACGGGAGUUUUUCACGUCUUGGACCUCAGAUCAGGCAAGAUCACCCGCUGAGUUUAAGCAUAUCACUAAGCGGAGGAAAAGAAACUAACGAGAUUUCCUUAGUAACGGCGAGCGACCGAAG